CUCACAAUAGUCAGUUCAUGUUAGGUUGAGCUAGACUUCUCACGUUAAAAGUUCAAGGGGAGGUGGCAUUAAAAUUUCUCAAUUUCUUAUUUGAAAUCCUCUACUGAAAUGAAAUCCAUACAAUUAAUUUGUUUUGCUAAAAAUUGGAAAUAAUAUUUGAUAUUCAAAUCCAAAUACAAAUGGCCGUUACAUUUUCUUCACUUUUAUUUAGGAUCUUGAUGCCAACACCGUGCCCUCCUCCAAAACAAGUUUUUCACUUCAUCAACUCUAAAUCUAAAUCCCAACACACAAAAAUUAUUCCGUUUCUGAUACCUAUCAUCGCUACAUAAACUCCCUUUAUACCCAAAAAUAUAGGUAUUGUAGAGAUCGCCAUACUCUGAUUCUUUGAUUCGAGGAAGAGAUCAGGCAUCCAGCUUGUAAAGGAAGUAAAGUAAGGAUUCAAAUUUCUUUGGUUAGGUUGUGAAAGAAGUUGAUAUUCCACUCUAAAACCAAGCUCGAAACUCACAUUUACAUUUUCACCUUCACAUUCUCACAAAGGUUGAAACAAGAUGAAAAGAGCAAAAGUAGCUUUUUAAGUGAAAAGGAGGUUUCUUUUGGGAACUAAAAGAAGUUAGCUGGUCAUGUUCACGGAAUAAAUGCCUUGUUGCGGUUCAGAUCUUUUUCAAAUUUAUUUACCACAUACUCAUUUUUAGGUUAGCGUAGAGUUAGCAAAAUGCUCUAGUACCAACUCUCAUCUUCUUUUUUAUUUUUUUAAAUUUUUUAAAUUUUUAAAAUUAUUUUUUUUUUUGUUGCAUUUGUUAGAAUAUUUGAGUGGUAGUAGGUACACAAGUAGUUUCACAGUGAAGUACGUAUAAAGACAAAAUUACAAAAAAUUAAGAAAUAAAACCCUUGGCAGGUCUCGCAUACAAUUGGCAAACGACAAGCCAUCUAUUCGUUUGAGGCCAAGGAUUACUUGACAAAAUAAAACCCUGACUAAGAACAAAAACAAAACGCCAACACACCUCAAAAGAACCAAUUCAAAGCACAGAAGAGCAAAGAUUCCUCUCAAGCUUUCAAGCCAGUAUUUAAAUAUAAUUUCCAUAGCAGUUUAUGACCACAAACUGACACUACCAUAAAAUUUCAGAUACAAUAAAACUAUUAAUAUUAAUGUUCUCAGGAAAAAAGACCGUCAAAUAUAGAACAAAGGGGAAAUAAAAAGGAAAAAAUGAAAAAUGAAAAAAAAGAAAAAGCAUCCCAAUCACUCUCCUGCUACAAACAUCCUACUGAAAGAGAUGGUUGAACCAAAGAUUAGGCAAGGCGAGGAUGGAUUUCGACUGAUUUUCUGCCCACCACAUAUACAGAACAACAUUGCCAUUGCAAGCAAAGCCUCUCACAUGGAUGAAAAGCUAUGAUACAUCAACAUCAGAAUCUACUCCGUCCUUCACUGACCCCACCUCAACACAUAUCGUUGCCAACCAAACUGACUUCACAUGACACGACACGAAAAUCCAACUAAAUUGAAAAAUAACUCACCAUCAAAACAUUUGUAGAACUCAGAAGCACUUCCUGUGGACAAUGGAUGGACCAGACUCAUCGUACUCACCCUUGGAAAUCCACAUCUAAUCCAUUGCAAGAAAAGAAAAAAAAGCAUAUCAGUCUCAAGCAAAAACUAUACAUAGCAUAGGAAUAAUAAAAAAUGAAGGAAAGGAAAUCAUAAACAAAUAAGAGACACGACAAUGAUAAUCACCUGCUGGAAGGUACUGAGGGAUGCAAGGAUGGACCCUCCAAUCCAGACACUGUACUUUCUCUCUGGUGGAGCCACAACCUUAAUCUUCAUGCUGCUUGGAGCAAGAGCAGUAAUCUCCUUGCUCAUCCUGUCUGCAAUACCGGGGAACAUAGUUGACCCACCACUGAGCACAAUGUUUCCAUAUAGGUCUUUCCUAAUAUCCACAUCACACUUCAUGAUAGAGUUGUAGGUAGUCUCAUGAAUUCCAGCAGCUUCCAUUCCAAUGAGUGAUGGUUGGAAGAGAACUUCUGGGCACCGGAAUCUCUCAGCUCCAAUUGUGAUUACUUGGCCAUCGGGAAGCUCAUAGUUCUUCUCUACUGAAGAGCUGCUCUUAGCAGUCUCAAGUUCUUGCUCAUA
rnacentral:lncRNA from 1 species